UGGGGAAUAUUGCGCAAUGGGGGGAACCCUGACGCAGCCAUGCCGCGUGAAUGAAGAAGGCCUUCGGGUUGUAAAGUUCUUUCGGUAUUGAGGAAGGUUGAUGUGUUAAUAGCACAUCAAAUUGACGUUAAAUACAGAAGAAGCACCGGCUAACUCCGUGCCAGCAGCCGCGGUAAUACGGAGGGUGCGAGCGUUAAUCGGAAUAACUGGGCGUAAAGGGCACGCAGGCGGUUAUUUAAGUGAGGUGUGAAAGCCCUGGGCUUAACCUAGGAAUUGCAUUUCAGACUGGGUAACUAGAGUACUUUAGGGAGGGGUAGAAUUCCACGUGUAGCGGUGAAAUGCGUAGAGAUGUGGAGGAAUACCGAAGGCGAAGGCAGCCCCUUGGGAAUGUACUGACGCUCAUGUGCGAAAGCGUGGGGAGCAAACAGGAUUAGAUACCCUGGUAGUCCACGCUGUAAACGCUGUCGAUUUGGGGGUUGGGGUUUAACUCUGGCGCCCGUAGCUAACGUGAUAANNCNACCGCCUGGGGAGUACGGCCGCAAGGUUA
rnacentral:rRNA from 1 species